rnacentral:lncRNA from 1 species
UGCAUGUGUUAGAUGGAUUUGUUUAGAAUACUUACAUGAUGGAUGUAUACAGUCAUAAAACUUUUAGUGCAUCUGUUCCUGCACAUUAUUUAUGCUACUUUAUAAAAACCUGAAGAUGGCAAAUUGGGCAUGCUUACCAUAACAUUCUCAAACUGGGAAAGCUGCAGAACAUUUUUCCUACAAGUGUUCACUGCCAUGAUACAAAACAAGUAUGUGCAAACUGCAAGGUCCCUAAAAAUAGCAUUUAAUGGAUUUAUUUACAGAAAGAUGUCACUAUCUGUUUAAAUAUGCAAAGAAUAAGCCUCCCAAAGUUUAUAACAUAGAACAAUAUCCACCACAUGCGCCUCCUCCAUGUCCUUCUUCCUUGUUUGAUAAUUUUACACCUUUGUUUUGGCUCUCACUCUCCCACAGUCCAGGAGUCUGAAUGAUUUUUUCCACAAGUUCUUCAAAGGCACACUGUACACCGUCGCAUGUUUUUGCACUUGCCUCUAUGAACAACAUGGAAUGUUUUCUUGCAAAUUUGAGACCUUCGUUUCUGUCAACUUCACGGUUUUCCUUAUCAAUCUUGUUUCCAACAAGCAUUUUCACUAUGUCAUUCCUUGUGCAGUACGUUUCCAGUUCAUUUAACCAGUUAUCCAGCUUGACAAAAGUAUCUCUUCUUGUAACAUCAUAAACUAGAAUAACACCCUGUGCACCUCUAUAGUAACUGGGUGUUAGUGUUCUGAACCGCUCCUGACCCGCAGUAUCCCAUAUUGCUAGUUUAGCUUUGUUUCCAUCAACUGAAAUAGUUUUCACCUUGAAGUCUACACCAAUUGUUGCUGCAAGUUCUGGGUCAAAUGUAUCAUCUGUGAAUCGCAGCAGAAGGCUGGACUUGCCGACGCCGCUCUCGCCGAUAAUGAGAAUCUUCAGCGUGGUCAACACGUCCUCGUCCAUCCCGUCGGCGCGCCCGGCCCUGCCCGGCCCCGACCGACAGACGCUCCCUACACAGGCUGCGGCCACACCGCCUGCGCCUGCGCGCCCCGCCGCCCCUUUGCACUCGCCCCCUCGCUGCCUGCCCCGCGCAUGCGCCGCAGGUGUGCCAGCAGAGGGGAGAGGAGGAAAACACCCCCCGCCCCUUCGGUUGACGUAUGCGCAGAGCGGAGGGAGCUGAGCUGGUGUUUACAGCGCGGUGGGGGAGGAGCGAGGUGAAGGGAAGGUGCUUAUGUGCGGCUCUGUGAGGCUUUGGCGUUCUCGUUUUGGUGUUCCCGGGGCGUCCCGCUGGUGUCGGACCUGUCGUCGGGGGAGAGAGAGAGGCCUAACUGUGGGCCUUCAGUUUCCGCCGUCGGGAAUCGGUGAAAAAAGAAACCAGAUUAGGAUUGCAGACGGGAAGGAGAAAGCUUGAGCCGCAGUGACGGCCAGCUGCCUGUAUCCCCAGCGCUAAUGCUGGAGAACGGCCGGUCAGCCCACCACCGACACAUGGGGCAUUUAACCGCCGGCCCCUCAUGUCCCAAGGCUGGCAGGGCGGGGGUCGGUGGCGGGAUGUCCGUCGUGCCAGCAGGCUGCCUCUGGGCGUGCCACCGCGGGCACUGGUUGGCCAGUGGUUACGCUCAGCCUUUUGUUUCCCAUCUCCUACAUCUGUAUGCUUUGACAGUAAUAUUUUAUUUCGAGGUAAAUCUGAGUCCUUUUUCUGAAUAUGCUUCAUUAAGAAAAUGAAGUGAGAGCAGAAAGGACUGGCCCCUGCCAGUUCCUUGAUGUGCUUGCAGUGUGUGCUCCUCGACAUAGUUAGAAUGGAAGCUGUGUGGCUCCUGAGGGAGCUUUUAGAAAGAUAACAAGGCUGCAAAUAAACUGUAAAAAAACAUACCCAGCAGAGCCCUUCCAUAAAAACCCCAAAUGUUUUUCUAACUUGAUUGCAGUGAGAAAGGCUCUUCAUAACCAGUCUGGCUACCCUGCUAUUACAGCUCAGUGCCUCCCUCAGACCGUGUGAAUCUCUUUUACUAUUAAUCAAGUGUAUGUCUGAUGUCUGAAAUUGUCCUUAUUGUAGCUCCUAGGCCAGCAGGACAGCAUCUUCUCAUCUGCAAAUACUGGCUUUAGCAUACACAAAAAGCCUGGGGCUCACACCUUGAGUACUGUCUUCAGUUUUGGUCCCCUCAGUACAAGAAAGACAUCGAGGCCAUGGAGUGUGUCCAGAGAAGGGCAACGAAGCUGUGAGGGGUCUGGAGCACAAGGCUUGUGGGGAGCAGGUGAAGGAGCUGGGAUUGUUCAGGCUGCAGAAGAGAAGGCUCAGGGGAUACCUUAUCGCUCUACAACUGCCGGGAAGGAGGCUGUGGUGAGGUGGAGGUCAGCCUCUUCUCCCAUGUAACAAGCACUAUUACGAGAGGGAAUGGCCUCAAUCUGCACUCAUCCAAGUUGAACAUUAGGAAAAAAUUCUUCUCUGAAAGAGUGGUCAGGCACUGGAACGGGCUGUCCAGGGAGCUGGUGGAGUCACUGUCCCUGGAGGUGUGAAGAAGUGUUUACAUGUUGUACUAAGGGACAUGGUUUAGUGGGGAAAUAUUGGUGGUAGGUAAAUGGCUGGACUGGAUGCUCUUGGAAAUCCUUUCCCACCUUGGUGAUUCUAUGACUAUGAAAGACAUCAGCCCCCGUCAGCGUUUUGCACAAAGGGGGUGAGACUGUUUUACUGUUUUUGUCAGCGUGAAGACUUCAGAGGGCACAGCUCUGUAGCAGCACAGAGUUUUUUUUGCAGCACAAUUGCCUUCAGCUGGGUUAUUGGAUCAAGACAGUGACCAUUCUUUUAUGUAGUAAACCGUUCUGGUGCCAUAUGCCAUACACUUACCGCCUUCAGGAUCUGCUGUCCUGCCUCUUUUGCCUCAGAAAACAAGCUCCUAAGAUGAAUACAAUAACAAUAAUUAUGACUUAUCAAGGCAUGUUCUAUAAUUAAGCCUGUGCAAAUAGCCGUGUGUAUUCUAGGACUGUGCCUGUUUACUUGUAAUAAUUUGAGAUUUGUUGAAGGUGUGAUUUUGUUUUCUUGGUGUGGAUUACGCUUUGCAGUGGUCUGGGAGGAGAGUGUGUUUAUGCUCUGUAGCUUAUAGUGCCGUGUUAAGGAGCUGUGGGAUCUUAGGGUGAAACAGAAUUUGAAUUUGAAUUUGGAAGGUGGACCCAAACAGCAAAGUAUUCUGCUAUGGAUAUCAAAUCCUUUGAAGUUAAAGGGUAUUUGUUUUUAUUUUUUUUGUUAUUUGUUUUCUGUUGUUUCCCAUUAUAGCCAUAGAAUCAAACUAUUCAAUAUGGGUAUUAGUCGCGAUUCAAAUUAUAAUUCUGUAUGUCACACAGAAGGAAGAAUUUUUCAGUAUGGCAUGCAGAUCCUUCACCUUAAUGAUAAACAGUCACAUGAAAGCAGGCAAAACUUGCCCUGCAUGAGAUGUCUUGUUCGUGUGUAUGGAAGUGAUGCUUUAGACCUUCCUCAGCAAGACCCUUAAGAACUGGUGUUUCUUUGUGUUGUCCCUGUACAGACUGAGCCGUGUAGUCAUCUGACAUCAAAUCUGUCUGCGGCAGUUGACCUGUUUGCAGUCUGUGACACCUGUUUUAACUCCAAAAAGCCAGGCCAUGUUAUGCGUGUACCAGCUGUACUCCAGAAGCCAGCGAUAAUGGAUGAUUAAAGCAUUUCAGACAUAGUUCCUUCAAAGUGAAGUAUUAUUCACUAAGGUACAUACAACCAUUAGAACUAAAUAUCAACUUAUUUUGCCAUGAAGCUCGUGUAGGAUAUUUCCAGUGAAGCUGUCUCUGAUUUGGGAGAGACAUCUAGCCUGCUGUAAUUCAUGUCUGUCUGUCUGAUUUCCUGCAUGCUUUUCAGGACUUGUCAGGAGUCCUUGGUUAUGACAACUAACCCAAAUCUUUUCUUUAAUAGUUGUGGAAAUUUUCACCUGAUUGUCUUUUAUGAUCCCUUUUGAUCCUGGCCUCAGAUUUUGGAGGGCCAAGCCACAACAGCAUCAUUAGCCUUGCCUGAUUAUUAUUCUUCCUAGAAGAACAAUGGAGAGCUUUCGACUGCAUUUUUAUCUCCUAUUCCCUUUAUUCUUGAUUUCUUUCAGUGAUCUCUUCUAGUUUCUAUCAGAAUAGUACCAAACAGAUUAACUUGUCUGUAUAUAAUAUCUAUAAAUUAUUAUACUUACACGCCUCAUUCCUCAUAAACUACUAAGAGAAAUGGUAGAAAACUAGCAUAACUGGUUCCAAGUCAGCUCCUCCCACAUAUGGAGGUGUAUAGUGAAAGAAAGAUGAAAUUUGUACUUCAGAGUACUUCUCUCCAUGCUUUUAUAGUCUUUCAUAAAAGCUGCCCAGUUCCUGACCAGAUCCAGGACUCAGAGAAACAGAAAAGUGUAAGCUCCAUCUCAGCUGCAGCGAGAGUACGAGAUCAGUGCUCCUAAGGUUUUGAUUACUUCAGGGAUGUGACAAAGAAAGGAAAACAUCUUGACAAAGAUAUCUCCUGUAAUUUCAGUAUUGAAAUUACCUGUCCAAUAUAUUAAGCAUUUGGGACAGUUUUUGUCGCAGUUGUGCUCCCCAAGUCUUGGAACGUCCAGAUCCCACUGGUAUAAAAUUGCAACUCAGUGGAGAACCCAAAGCACCUUGUCUCAAUUAAUUCUCAAUUUAAGGAAAAGAGAGAUUGUAGUCCUUUUGUUUUCAGCCAUUUCAUUGACCAGGAAAACAGGUCAUUGAGACUAAUUGUGAUUGCCUCUCUCAAAAGAUGGGCAGUUACUUACAGCCCCUUCCUUAGUGCUGAGAUCUGUAAUGACAGGGACGUUGAAUUUUGUGUGUCCUCAGGGGACCCUGGCACCUUUGCACAGCUGUGUUCCCCUGGACUGCCACUGAGGGCAAGCGAGGGCUAGAAGGACAUCCAUCCAGCUCAUUCCUGCUGUAGUAUACCCUUAGCGACAAAGACGAGUGUGUCAUACAUGAGUCAGUAACAUGAGAGACAACCUGGAAUAAACAAGGCCUCAAUCUGUGAAUUCUGUGCCUAAGAGGCUUUGGUCAGAUCACUUGAACUAUCUGCCUUAGCUUCUGUAGCUUAAACAUGGAGAUAAUUUAAUUGUGUUUACCACAGAAGAUGGCAGAAAGAUCAAGGACUGAUUUCAAAAGGGAGCCAGUGGUUUGUGUUUUCCCUGUCAGCACUGUCUGGUUUUACAUGAGCUGUGAAUUUCACGAUCCAAGAGUGGCUACUUAGCCGCAUGGCUUUCCUCUUAUCUCUUUAAUCACCAAUACUGUCACAAGUUAAAACGCUUUGAAAUUUACAGGUUCUGUUUAGGCUUUUUAGGUACACUGAUGGACGUCUUUAGAUCCCAAAGUCCUUAAUUCAUAGGUACUUUUAAGGAUUUUCUCAGUUGUGCCAACUCGGCACGAUGUCCAGCAGAAGUGGAGAAGCUCAGCCAGUUCAGAAAGAUGCUGACAGCAAUCUACCGGUCUCCUGUUGCAAAGACACAUUCUUCUAUCCCAUUUCCAGAUUGUGUGGCUGACCCAAAGUAUAUAUUGUCCUGACAGUGAGUCAGCAGUUAUGAUUCACAAUGGAACAAGCCUGAUUACUAAGCUCAUCAGUGACUCCUAGCAGAAACAACAUGUGUACACAUGCUCAAUCUUUUUCUCUUCUUCAUGCAGUAAUUUGCAAAGUUGGUAAGAGUAACUGUCAUCACGUGUCAGAUUCAGGGAAGUUCCUUUUCUGCAUGACAUCCUUAAACAUAGUGACACAUCCUUAUGAUUUCAUAUUCAGCAGAUAGCAGCAAGGAGUAAAAGUACUGCAUAAGUCUCAGAACUCUGAGAAGGACUUCUCUGGAGACCACAAUGUAAAUGAGAUUACUGUGGUUGGCGACUCCUUUUCGGAAGAAUCCAGCUUAUUUUUAUGAAGCAGCUGCAUGAUAUUUAUCUCUCCCCUCAUCUCCAACAGCAGCCAGAGCUGGGGACUCACAUCUGUUGAUCCUCUCAGUGCCUGCUUACUUUCUGUGCACAGAAAGGGGAGAUUUAAGACUAUAAGUACAUUAGCUGUUGACAAUUAGAAUACACUGCUUAUAGUCAACUCAGUUUUAAGAAGUGGAUUACACAUGUUGGAGUCAUAACAGACAAGAGUCAGCUGUUUGGAGGAGAACAAGAAAAACAGUGUUUUGGCCACUAAAAUGCCAAGGCAUAUAUACCUUAGGUAUAUGCAUGACAGUGAUAUAACAGGAUUUUUCAGAGAAAACCAACAAGUGUUUUGUAGAUCGUUAAGUGUAUCUUGCAUAAUGAUCAUGAGUAGAUUCCAGAUUUUGUGCUAAAGUAACCUGCUUGCUGAAGGUAAUUAAAAAACUAAUAAUAAUAAAAAGUAAAAAAAGAUUAGUUGGUUGCUUUGAAAUGCUGUUAUAUUGGUAAAUACAUGGUGUAAUGUUCAAGAUACACCACAUCUUCCUUCUCUACUGGAAGACGAUGAAAAGGCUUGCCACCUCCUAGUUCCAUUCAAUUUUGUGAGAUGAAUCGAUUAAUCACUUAAUCCCACUUAAUGCAAGCAGUUGUCUCAAAAAUGGCAUUUUAUCUUCCUGCAUCAUGUCAUGAAUCUUUAAACUAAGGACAGCUUUUAAGACUGGAUGACCUAAAUAUUCCUUUUUAAAUGUCUCUGAGGUAACUACAGAGUUAUUUAAAUAAUGAUAUGGAAAUAGAUUCUUGUUUAUGAUUGUUAGAUUCCUUACAAUACUUUAAUUAUAUUUUAAAUAAGAAGAAAACAGGUUUGAUAUUUGAGGUACAUCUAGCACCGACAGUACAUCAACAAUGAAAAAGGUAAGACAACAGCUUUCAAAGGGCAAAGAAAGAACAACAGAGCUUGGGUAUUAGUUUUCCUGCAGUCCAACUUUACAUGUACUUCACAAACACUGAACAGUUUGUGCUGUGAGUUGUUCUUUGUUCAAGUGUAUUUGUAUCCAGUGCAGCACAGUGUCUAAUAUAUUUACCAUUAAAAUCAGAAGACAGGAAAAAAAAUCAAAGAAUAUCUGACAAACCCAGUUCACAUGCAGUAUUCCCUCUGAAUAUUAGUGAAAUAUAAAGUAGUAGAGCAUUUUCCAAAGCUUGCUGUUUCUAUGUUGUGUCAUGAAUUUUUCAAAAGCAACUUUAGGGUUUGUUUUGGACUUCCAAUGUUGGUGGUAGAGCUAAAGAGGCUUUCUGUGAAUACAGUAAAUUUGCCAAAGAAGAUAAGGUAAGCACGUGUCUGUGUGGAGUACUUUUUACAUUAGCAAAAUCUCUUAUUUCCCACAAGCAAGACAAUUGGGAGUCCUUCUUAGAAAGCAGUUGUUGAAAGAACUUCUCAUCUCUAAUGAGGUUUUACUUUAAGUGAUCAUUUCAAGGGAGGAAAAUCAGGAAUUGAGUUAUUUUGCAUUUCAAAAAUAAUGUAUUUAUGUAACUUUCUCCAGUUGCUUCUAGUACUUAACAUGGAUAACAGCGAAGCAGGGAAGAGAUAUCCCUACUUGGGAUUGUCUUAUCCAUAAUCCCUUCUGAAGGUUUAACAUACCUCAUCUAGCCUUUGGUUUUAUGUGCUGAUGGGAUUAGCUGUCAGAAUGUCUCUGGGUGGAUUAAGUAACCACUGUCAUCAGUAUCUCACUCUUUGCACAACACUGUAUGAAGCAAUCAUGAAAAAUCUGAGGACCUGGUGGGCAAAGAGCAGAGCUACAGCAUCAAGGGAGUGACUGCCAAGUAAGUCAAACAACGAUCUGUAUUAAAGCUGUCACAGUCACUGGAAGAAAUGCACACAGAUAGGUGAAUUCAAAUGGGGGCAACCAGUUUUACUGGCUCCAACCAAAGCCCAUCUGUCACCAGGAAUGGUAGUGUCCUCAGCAAGACCAUGUAAUGGUACUUCCCCAGAAUGUUAGUGCAUCCUUCAGCAGUUUGUGACCCAGGACUUUCUAAGCCUAUAGUGAUAGUAUCUUCCUCUAUAAUACCUACAGUUCUCUUCAAUAAUAAUUGUAUUUUUCUUCACAGAAAUGAAUUUCUCAUCCAUAUGUAUUGAAACCAUAAUAGCACAUAAUACACAUAAUAGUACUCUACACCUGCUACUUUCAUUUGAUUUCUCUUCUCAGAAUAGAAAACGAGCAACUAUAUAUCAGCUUAGUCCACACCAUGCAUGAUUUUAUAGAUUUCUAUCAUAUCCUCUGAUAGUUUUGUGGGGGUUUUUUAAUAGCGAGCGAAAUCCUGAUGUACCUAAUCACUCCUCAUGUGGGUAUCAUUGCAAUUUUAGUUAUCCUAUUUUCACUUUGCUGUACAGUCACUUGCC